rnacentral:misc_RNA from 1 species
AACUUUCGACAACGGAUCUCUUGGUUCCCGCAUCGAUGAAGAAAGCAGCGAAAUGCGAUAAGUAAUGUGAAUUGCAGAAUUCAGUGAAUCAUCGAAUCUUUGAACGCAUAUUGCACUCCCUGGUAUUCCGGGGAGUAUCUCCGGUCGAGCGUCACUUACAACCAUCAGGCCAACAAAACAAGCCUGGACCUGAGCGUCUCCCGGUCGGCAAGGCUGGGUCGCUUGAAAUGCAGAAGGUUGUCGGCUGUGUGUGCCACGGCGUAGUAGUAAUUUUCUCGCCCAAAGGUGUACAAUAACGCUUUGACGGUCUUUUCGUCGCAGGAACAACAGAAUGUGCUUGCGUGUACGGGGGAGACCCUGCUGCCGCCAUAUUCUGCCACCUGACCUCGGCUCGGAGAAGGCUACCCACUGAACUUAAGCAUAUCAAUAAGCGGAGGCU